rnacentral:lncRNA from 10 species
GCCCACUGCCGCCGGGAGGCCGCGCACACUGCCGCUGUUGUGUGGGUUUGUGUUGAAGGUAAAGGGCCGGGAGGCCGCGCACACUGCCGCUGUUGUCCGGGUUUGUGUUGAAGGUAAAGGGCCGGGAGGCCGCGCACACUGCCGCUGUUGUCCGGGUUUGUGUUGAAGGUAAAGGGCCGGGAGGCCGCGCACACUGCCGCUGUUGUCCGGGUUUGUGUUGAAGGUAAAGGGCCGGGAGGCCGCGCACACUGCCGCUGUUGUCCGGGUUUGUGUUGAAGGUAAAGGGCCGGGAGGCCGCGCACACUGCCGCUGUUGUCUGGGUUUGUGUUGAAGAAACGUGGAUGGAGCUGGAGGCCAUUAUCUGAAGCCAAUUAACAGAGGAACAGAAAACCAAAUACAAGGUGUUCUCACUUAAAAAUGGGAGCUAAACAUUGGGCACACGUGAACAUAAAGAUAGCAGCAACAGACAAUGGGGACUACUAGAGUGGGGAGGGUAGACAGUGCCAAGGACUGAAACACGACCUAUUGGGUACUAUGCUCAAUACCUGGAUGACAGGAUCAAUCGUACCCCAGACCUCAGUAUUACACAAUACAUCCAUGUAACAAACCUGUACAUGUACCCCCUGAAUCUAAAAUAAAAGCUGAAAAAAGAAUUGUCAAGUUUAGGGAAAGGAAGGCAUGCUGGCUUAUCUGUCAACUCUCCAUGUUGGCACAGGACAAGACAUACAUUUUUCCCGUCUGGUCCUUGAUUUCUCUCAUUACCUAGUGUGGCAUAUUCUAGCAGGUCACAUCACACUAGGGAUGUGAGAAUUUUUGCUAAUUCUAUGAACUUAAAUGGCUUUUUCUCCAUUCGCAGUACAGGGAUCUUCAUUUCCUUCAGGGCAAGGAAACUGACUUCUAUUUUGUCAUAUGUUCUUCCUAAUCUAUUAUUUAUAAGUGAACUUUAUUUCUCAAAUCCCUCAGGGUUCUAGUAUUUGGUUCUCAAAAAGGCUUGAAAAUAUUGCCUCCCAUACAUAAUGUCUCUACAAUGAGUUUUGAAAAUGUAUUUGGAAAAAAAAGAAAAAGGCAAAAAUAGUUUUGUUGUAACCAGCACUUUGGAGGUAAAUAAUAAGUGCUAUCUAUAGGGAACAGGCAUAAAAGAAUAAAAAUGAAUUACUGAGAGGAA